GACGUAGGGGCGAGCGUUAUCCGGAUUUAUUGAGCGUAAGGGCGCGUAGGCGGUCCGCAGCAGUGGCGUGUGGAAUCCCCCGGCUCAACCGGGGGGGGCCGCGCCAGACGGCGGACUUGAGGUGAGUAGAGGGUCGCGGAACGGGCGGAGUAGGGGUGAAAUCCGUAGAGACCGUCCGGAACACCGUUAGCGAAGGCGGCGACCUGGGCUCAUUCUGACGCUGAGGCGCGAAAGCGUGGGGAGCGAA
rnacentral:rRNA from 1 species